rnacentral:rRNA from 1 species
GACGAACGCUGGCGGCGUGCUUAACACAUGCAAGUCGAACGGAGUGGCGAACGGGUGAGUAACACGUGGGUGAUCUGCCUUGCACUUCGGGAUAAGCUUGGGAAACUGGGUCUAAUACCGGAUAGUGCAAGAUGAGCUCGCGGCCGAUCAGCUUGUUGGUGGGGGAAUGGCCUACCAAGGCGUCGACGGGUAGCCGGCCUGAGAGGGGGUACGGCCCACUUGGGACGAAGAUACGGCCCAGACUGCUACGGGGGGCAGCAGUGGGGAAUAUUGCAAAAUGGGCGGAAGCCUGAUGCAGCGACGCGGGGUGGGGGAUGAAGGCUUUCGGGUUGUAAACUCCUUUCGACAGGGACGCGGUACCUGUAUAAGAAGCACCGGCUAACUACGUGCCAGCAGCCGCGGUAAUUC